rnacentral:lncRNA from 1 species
UGACACUCGAUCCAAUUUGGAUAUGACCCGGUAGUGUCCCAUGAGCGCAUGUUUAGUACCACCUUACUAGUUGAGUAAGGGUGGAGCCAAUUUAUAAGUCUUUAUCCACCAGCCAUAGCACCUUCGAGUUAACCCUUUUACAUGAAGCGAGGAUGAAAUGUAAAUAGGGUGCUAUGUGCAUGCGUGCCCAUCCCUUGGAAGGAUUGGGCUGUGCGGCUUUGGAGGAUGGAGUGUUACAAUUAUGUUCACUCACGCAAAGAAAGAAGAUCAAUGGGAUAACAAUUAACAGGUGUGCAGACUGGCAAACUGAGUAUAGCUCAGCCAGUAAGGUUAGGCCCUGUUCGGAUUCUCUUAAACUAAUUUUUAGUUGGACUAAAGUUUAGUUAGUUAAACGUGAACCAACACUUUUAGGUCUCCUUUGGAACAUAGGAAUGGAAAAACAUGGGAAUAGAAAAAAUAUAGGAAUUGGAUAGGAAUGCAUAUGCAAAAAUACAAGAAUUAAAACUAGAGGAAUUGUGGAAGGUUAGGUGUUUGGAUGGUGUAGGAAGAACAUAGGGAAUGUUAAAGGAACCUUAAGAGCAAAUUUCAAUUAAUUAAUGUGGCAUGCUUUGAUUAGGCACAAGUGACCAGUGUCUUAUGUGGCAGAACCACCCAAAUUAACCCGGCUAAAGUGUUCUCAACAUCGCCUCAAAUGCGAAUAAACACUUUAAUCGAAUUAAAAUUGAUUAAAUUAAAAUGGUAGUCUGUCGGGUUUCACCCGAUACAACCACGUGUUUCUGAUCGAAACAAGCAUACAAAGCUCGCACGAAGACGAGUCCAAAAAUUACAAUAAUCCAGAUAAUAUAUUACGGGUCCUACGUUAAGUUAUUACAACCGAGUGUUCAAAAGCAUAAAGAGUGUUCAGAGUUCAAGUAGCGGAAAAAGAAUGAUAAGUCUAAUGUCAAUACAGGAUACCAUGGUGAAGCCUUCCAUGAUAUCACUCACCAUGAUCCUCGCCGACCGAGGAUGGGUUCCACUCAACCGUCCAUCCCGGAGGGAGCUGAGAUGGUCAAGUCACACUAGCAACCAUAUCCUCAAAAUUAACAUUACCUGAAAACAUAGUCACAACCAAGGCUAAGUAUACUAAUACUCCGCAAGAC